GGGCCUGUAGUCUAGCUUGGUAGGAUCCGGCCUUGGGGUGGCCGAGGCCUGUGUUCAAAUCACAGCGGGCCCA
rnacentral:tRNA from 1 species